rnacentral:rRNA from 1 species
GGCCGCAGUAUUUUAACUGUGCAAAGGUAGCAUAAUCAUUAGUCUUUUAAUUGAAGGCUGGUAUGAAUGGUUGGACGAAAUAUUAACUGUUUCAUAUAAAUUUAUUUUAAAACUUUAUUUUUUAGUUAAAAAGCUAAAAUUUUUUUAAAAGACGAGAAGACCCUAUAAAUCUUUAUAUUUAAAAUUAUUAUAUUUUUUAGAAAAUUUUAUAUAUAAUAAUUUAUAAUAUUUUAUUGGGGUGAUAUUAAAAUUUAAAUAACUUUUAAUUUUUUUUUUACAUUAAUUUAUGAAAUUUUGAUCCAUUAUUAUUGAUUAAUAAAUUAAGUUACUUUAGGGAUAACAGCGUAAUUUUUUUGGAGAGUUCUUAUUAAUAAAAAAGUUUGCGACCUCGAUGUUGGAUU